rnacentral:rRNA from 1 species
GUGGGGAAUUUUGGACAAUGGGCGAAAGCCUGAUCCAGCAAUGCCGCGUGUGUGAAGAAGGCCUUCGGGUUGUAAAGUUCUUUAGCCGAUGAUUAUAAUGACUGUAGUCGGAAAAUAAGCCCCGGCUAACUUCGUGCCAGCAGCCGCGGUAAUACGAAGGGGGCGAGCGUUAUUCGGAAUCACUGGGCGUAAAGCGUGCGUAGGCGGUUUUGUAAGUUAGGAGUGAAAGCCCAGGGCUCAACCUUGGAAUUGCUCUUAAAACUGCAAGGCUCGAAUCUCGGAGAGGAUAGCGGAAUUUCCAGUGUAGCAGUGAAAUGCGUAGAUAUUGGAAGGAACACCAGUGGCGUAAGCGGCUAUCUGGACGAGUAUUGACGCUGAGGCACGAAAGCGUGGGGAUCAAACAGGAUUAGAAACCCUAGUAGUCC